rnacentral:rRNA from 1 species
UACAGAGGGGGCAAGCGUUAUUCGGAAUUAUUGGGCGUAAAGGGCGCGUAGGCGGCUUUUCAAGUGACGGGUGAAAGCCCUCGGCUUAACCGAGGAACUGCCUGUCAGACUGGAUGGCUUGAGACCGGGAGAGGUGAGUGGAAUUCCCAGUGUAGCGGUGAAAUGCGUAGAUAUUGGGAGGAACACCAGUGGCGAAGGCGGCUCACUGGACCGGAACUGACGCUGAGGCGCGAAAGCAUGGGGAGCGAACAGG